AUUGAACGCUGGCGGCAUGCCUUACACAUGCAAGUCGAACGGUAACAGGUCUUCGGAUGCUGACGAGUGGCGAACGGGUGAGUAAUACAUCGGAACGUGCCUAGUAGUGGGGAUAACUACUCGAAAGAGUGGCUAAUACCGCAUGAGAUCUACGGAUGAUAGCAGGGGAUCGCAAGACCUUGUGCUACUAGAGCGGCCGAUGGCAGAUUAGGUAGUUGGUGGGAUAAAAGCUUACCAAGCCGACGAUCUGUAGCUGGUCUGAGAGGACGAUCAGCCACACUGGGACUGAGACACGGCCCAGACUCCUACGGGAGGCAGCAGUGGGGAAUUUUUGACAAUGGGCGCAAGCCUGAUCCAGCAAUGCCGCGUGCAGGAUGAAGGCCUUCGGGUUGUAAACUGCUUUUGUACGGAACGAAAAGCCCCGGGUUAAUACCCUGGGGUCAUGACGGUACCGUAAGAAUAAGCACCGGCUAACUACGUGCCAGCCGCCGCCGUAA
rnacentral:rRNA from 1 species